rnacentral:lncRNA from 1 species
AUGGUUUGGAGGUGCUCUGUUGUAUGGUUUGGAGGUGCUCUGUUGUAUGGUUUGGAGGUGCUCUUGUAUGGUUUGGAGGUGCUCUUGUAUGGUUUGGAGGUGCUCUAUUGUAUGGUUUGGAGGUGCUCUGUUGUAUGGUUUGGAGGUGGUCUUGUAUGGUUUGGAGGUGGUCUUGUAUGGUUUGGAGGUGCUCUUGUAUGGUUUGGAGGUGCUCUUGUAUGGUUUGGAGGUGCUCUUGUAUGGUUUGGAGGUGCUCUUGUAUGGUUUGGAGGUGCUCUGUUGUAUGGUUUGGAGGUGGUCUUGUAUGGUUUGGAGGUGGUCUUGUAUGGUUUGGAGGUGGUCUUGUAUGGUUUGGAGGUGCUCUGUUGUAUGGUUUGGAGGUGCUCUGUUGUAUGGUUUGGAGGUGCUCUAUGGUAUGGUUUGGAGGUGCUCUAUUGUAUGGUUUGGAGGUGCUCUAUUGUAUGGUUUGGAGGUGCUCUGUUGUAUGGUUUGGAGGUGCUCUGUUGUAUGGUUUGGAGGUGCUCUUGUAUGGUUUGGAGGUGCUCUAUUGUAUGGUUUGGAGAUGCUCUGGUCUCUGCCUGCUUUGCUUGCCUCACCUGCCCGGUCAGAAGGUGCUGUGUUGACAAUUGUGCCUGCACGGUGCCUAGGUCAAUG